UUCAUUUCCAUACAAACCCCCGUCUUGUAAGCAAAGAUGGGUAGUGGUUAGCAGUGGAAUCCAGGACGCGCG
rnacentral:tRNA from 1 species